GGAGUGUCUAGGGAGAACAAGGAUUAAAAUUUAAAUUAGUUUUAAAGUUUUGAAACAGAUCUUAAAUAUUUUUAAUAUUGGCUUAUUUUGUUUCAGAUUCACUGCUUGAUUAUGAGUUUUAAAUGUUCGUCAUUAGAUGGGAUUGUAUCAUGGUACAGUGAUUGUCUAAUAUGCAUACAUUCAUCCUUCUGUCCGUCUGUUCAGGGUUUUCUGUCUUUAUUUUCAUUUUUCUGUCACAUGUCAUGUUGAAAUUUGCUGUGUAGCUUCUUGGUGGAUUAUUCUUGAUCAUGUUACAAUUUUGAUCCAUCUCUUGCAGGAGUUUUGCCACUUUAUUUUCCCAUACAUGCCAACUUUCCCGAUUUAGGCGGGAUCUUCCCGAUUUUACCCUCCGGUCCCGCUUUCCCGAUCGGGAAAGCAAAAUUACCCUAAAAUCCCAAUUUGAAAUUUUUUCCGACCAAAAUUUCCGAUUUCACGAUUGAAAACGAGUUUGAAAGCGAGAUAAUCGUGAAAUCCCGCGUCAUUUCUGAACUGGCCAAUCAGAAAUCGGGACAAUAGUCAGCCAUUGCUGUUUACCUGUGUCGCAUGGUGUUGGGUUGGUCUGUCUGUGUCGGGGUGUUUAUUGGACAGUACGAAGCAUGUUUUGAUAGUAAUUAAUCGGGAAGACGGAUUUCAAAUUGACCUAUCCUUUACACAAACGUGAAUGACAACGAUGCUAGUGUCACCACCAAACAAUCGGACAUUCUGUCUCUCGCUGACAGCAUCCAAAAUUUGCAAUAAGAUGUCAUGGGUGCAAAGGUUUUGUUCGCAAACUUCAUAGCAGGGCAGAUCACUCCUUUUUUGGUUGCAAUGCAGAUUAUUCCACCAGUCUCUGCAAGCCCAUGUUUACAGACAAGCAAGAUCGCCUUUGCAGUCGUACCUAAAUGCAUGUGCUUUAAUUUAAAUUUUGAUAUAUAGACCGGCCAAUGUUUAUUGUAUGGUGUAAAAGGAUGCAACCUUAAAUAUUAUUUGAUAUUAUGUAUGUGACUUGUUGGAGAAGAUUUUUUGCUGAAUAGAUGAUUUUAAAAAAAAUAUUAAUGUAUAUCUUUCAAAGUUUUUUUUAUAUAGUUAAUGGUCAAACACAUUUGAUGUUGUGUUAAUAUAUGAUACAUUAACAAUGAUUUGAUUGAUAUUUUAUUUGAAAGGACAAAUAUUUAUUUUCAUGCUAAAAUGUCGUGAAUUUUGAGCUUUGAAAAAAGGUCGUCGCGCGCAAAAUCCCCCAUGGGGAUUUUUAAAAGUUGGCAUGUAUGUUUUCCCCUCGCAUUUUAUUGCGAGAUUUGAUAUAGUAAUGGUCCUGUUCGUGUGUUGGCAAGUAUGCGAGUGUGUGUGUAACACUUGAGCAUGUAGACCACAUUUUUUGCUCUCUCAAUUUCAUACUUCACAUGUUGCUUUGUUAUCAAUAGAGAAAGAAAUCCCAUUGAUUUUGGGGUCAAAAGGUCAUGGUCACUGGAACUUCAUAGAAAAAGCUUGUAGACCCUCUACAGGGCACAUUUUUGCUAUGGGACUUCAUAGAAAAAGCUUGUGAACACUCAUUGCAAGGGAAUAUACAGCUUGUUUCAAAUUGAAUGUUGUAUGGAGGGUAUUUAUCUCUCUAACUUCUUCCACAGUUUACAAUUGAAGACCUCAAUAGCCGAAGGCUCAAGUUAGCUUUUCUGAUCAAAAUUUAUCCGGCAUGUGAAUCGUUGACGAAGAUGACAUAGUUAUCCUAUGCUGAUAUCAUCAUUAAAUCAGGGUAUUAUUUCAUUUCGCAAUAAUCAUAUUUUUGGAAAACAAUUAAAUUUUGAUUUCAGCCUCAGUGAUGUAAGUAACUAAGUACAGUAAUUGUUAAAAUUAUGGCCGGGUUGCACAAUGUGCAAACAGCUUAUAAAAUGGCAGGGUACCUACAUUGUGUAACCAGCUCCUCUCACACCUCUAACUUGACAUUCCUCAAACUGUACAGUUGUUAUGGACACAUUGAAGAUGUGCAUGUACCUUUUUAAAAGUGAUCGACAUUUUUCGAAUAUAUUUACGUGUAGUUGAACUUGGUCAUUUUUUAAACAUUUCUUGAAUAGAUGGUACCUAUUAUAUAUAACCAGCUCCU